rnacentral:lncRNA from 7 species
CCGUCUGCUUCGCUGAUGAAAGCUGCCCUGGAGCCUGCAGGUUGCACAUAGGUUGUGUGCACAACGUGGACGUUAUUUAAAGAAAUGCCAACAGGUAGGGAAGGUGUUUUGCUUUUGGGAGAACGUGCCAGAUGGACAGCAUGCCAAAGACAGCUCAAGGUAUUGCAGAAAAUAGUAAAUUAAAAUCAAAAUGUCACGGGAGAGAGGUGCAGCCCCAUUGCACGUCACUGUCACUGCUUGGUUUUCUAAACCAGAAGAGCUUGAAGUGAGGCAGGACUUGUCAAAAUGCCCUUAGGGAUUUGGGUGACCUGCUCCCAGCGUGCUGCCAGCCUUUAGGCAGCUUUCAAAACCCCAAACUAAUUUCCUUCACUCAGUUCUUCCUCUCCUGAGCUCCACAAGUGCAGUAAUUGCAAGCGUUUGUUCUGAGCCAUGCAAGUUUGGGCUCCACCGCUUUUAUUUACUGCAAUUAUAUCUGGCAGAUAAUUUCUCAUAAACUCAGGAAAAUAAGAAAACUCCUGCAAACUUCACGAACAGAGAAAUAGGGCAAAUUGAUCAAAUAAGCUGCUUCCUACACGAUCAAAAAUUACUAUCUGCAUAACAUUCUGGAACAGAAAUAGCUCUGAUGAAAGUAUGAAGGCGAGCAGGAACUCGCUAGAGGCAUCUGGGCAGAGUUUUAAGGUCCUGGUCCACUUCUAGCAAGGAGAAUCUGUUUGACCUUGAUGUGAGUUACCUGACGUGGCAGUGGAGCUGCAGGAUGGCAUGUACCUUCUCCUCCCCAUUGGAAGCAUGCUGGCUUGUUAUGGGAUGCAGCCUUGGAAGGACGGAAUCCCAUUUCUGCCCUUCUGGUUGAUGACCAAUCCCAGUCCUUUUACGCCAGCAGAGAGAACUUUCCUUUCUUUCCAUGUAUAAAAUUAAACCAGAGUGUUCAAAAUACAGCAUGUGAGGUUUGUCCCACAUCUCGUUUAAGUGAGCGUGUGGUGGCAGUGAAUCUGAAUUGCAAAUAGCUGAACUCAGGUACUGGGUUUUUCUGAAAUGAGCUUUUAAUAAUUAUUGAGCUUUUUCAUCUCUGCUGUGUAGCUUAAUUUACGUGAAAAAUUUGAGUUUCAUCUGGAAUUCUCGAUCUAGUGGUGUUAACAUCUCUGAGAAAAGUAAACGGUUGCCACGAAUUAGGCCUGGGCUUGGAUGCUGCAGCUGAUUAACACCACAUAAGGACAAUUAGCAGCAUUUUUAGGAGAGGAUGGGAAGAAAUUAUCGUGUGCAGUUGAAGCUAUAAAGAGAAUUUUAGGGCGGUGUGUAAUUAGGCAAAUUAGGAUCGGGCAGUGGCUUUAACAUUCGUACCUUGAUGAAAUGUAUGUAUGAAUUCCUUAAGGAAUAUAUGGGUUCUUUAAUGACUACAGUCUUCUGUAUCAUCUCAAAGGUGUAUUUACAAAACAGUUUGGAUGGCAGAUUCAUACAGUGUUAACAUGACAUCAGGUCUGAGUGGUUUGGCAUCGCCAGGAAAGUUCAUGAGGGCUUCUCUGCCUGAACCCUGAAUUUGUCUCAUUUGGAUUUGGAUAACAGGAGGAGACAGCUUGGGAAAUGGGAGCAUACAUCUCACCGGUCUGAAGAGAGCUCAUAGCAGCUCAGGAUCUUUCUGAUUUUUAUGGUACCUGUCCUGCCGGUCCGCCUUGGUGAAGAAACAGACUUGGGGUGGAGCAGGGAUGCAGCUGGGGUGCAAGGCAAGGGCUGUGCUGUGGCCGAGUGUCUUCGUUCAAGACCCUCUCCACCAAUAAGGCCAUCCCUUUGGUUCUAAUGAAAUCCUGGGACCCACCACUGAGCCCCUUGGUUUUGAAAGCCAAAGCCUAACCCUGUGGUACCUGAACUGUUGGCAUAAACUCAGCUCAGAAGGCAAUAUGAACCAUUUGUCAAUGAAAGCAGCAGCACGCAUUUAGCCCUGCAGGCUUUCAAGUAUUACCCAAUAAAACAAGCUUCUCCAUCCUUUCUGAAACCCCCACAUCGUGUUUCUGGCCUGCCUGUGGUUGUUCCACGGCUCUGUGAGGCUUUGUGCCUCUGAAAAGCCCCUCCUUGUGACAACCUGAGGUUUUCUUGGCUUGAAAUGCUGAUCUGGGCCAAACUCCAAGCGUCUGCUUUUUUAGAUUAACAUAGUUUAAAUUAAGAGAAAUUAACGAUGAAGAUGUAUCAUCAGCCUUUAGCUCUGUGUAUUGUUGGUUCGUGCUUUUGUCAUUACAUCGGUUCUCAAGAAGUAAAAAUUUCUGUUAAUAAU